UUUUAUGAGAGUUUGAUCCUGGCUCAGGAUGAACGCUGGCGGCGUGCCUAACACAUGCAAGUCGAGCGAUYUACUUCGGUAAAGAGCGGCGGACGGGUGAGUAACGCGUGGGUAACCUGCCUCAUACACAUGGAUAACAUACCGAAAGGUAUGCUAAUACAGGAUAAUAUAAGAGAUUCACAUGGAUUUCUUAUCAAAGCUCCGGCGGUAUGAGAUGGACCCGCGUCUGAUUAGCUAGUUGGUAAGGUAAUGGCUUACCAAGGCGACGAUCAGUAGCCGACCUGAGAGGGUGAUCGGCCACAUUGGAACUGAGACACGGUCCAAACUCCUACGGGAGGCAGCAGUGGGGAAUAUUGCACAAUGGGCGAAA
rnacentral:rRNA from 1 species